CUACACAGAUCAUGAAGACAAAAGCACAGAGCAGGCUGAGUCCUACAGGGGGAGAACAGGUCUUUUUAAAGAGGAGCUACAGAAAGGCAACAUUUCCCUCAAACUCUCAGACGUUCAAGCCUCUGACAAUGGAAUUUAUAAGUGCUUAGUUAAGUCUGAGUUGGGGGAUGACAAUGUAACUCUUGGCGUUGCAGUUGAAGAUAAAUGUUUUAAAAGGGGGAGGACCUGUGUCAUCUUCAAUUUCAUUCUUUCAUCAUUAAUACUCAUUUCAAUCAUUGGACUAGUUAUACUUGUUUAUUAUAAGAGAAAAGAGAUCAGGAGAACAGAGUGCACAGAG